UGUUCUUGUCCAGUGCUGUGAGAGCACAGAUACUGAUGCCUUUUGUAUAUGAGAGAUCAGGUGUACUUUUACAUCUCUGUUUGUAAUUUAGAGUCAGCAAACCAUGGACCAGUUAGGAACAAAUGUUAUGAUAUGAGAAUGCCACUUCAUGUUUUUUUCCAUGAUAGAUAUUCUUGGAAAAACUCUAGGCUCUUUCAUUGGUUUUGGAAUACAUACAUGGGCCUUUCCAAGUAGUACUAAUUUCGUUUCUCAGAAAAAUGAUAACAUGUUUUUAAAAAGAGGCUUUAUUUGUCUCUAUAGAAUGAAAACCAUGUAGCUGGUUUUAUUAUUCUCUAAUCAUGAAGACCAUUAUUGUUAUUUGUGGACUAAUGAGCAGAAAGACUGAUGUAAGUAAACAUCAAAUUGAUGUUUUGGGCUAGGAUGGUAUUCAUUUAUGGGAGCCCACUACAUUAUUUUGAUAAAACAAAUUGUUAAAUAACACAUGAAACAAGGAAAUGCCAGUCACAGACCUAUGAUUGUAAUGUGUCAUGAACAAAAUCUUAGGAUUAAUUCAACCCAACCCAACUGAAGACGAUUGUUAAAUAAAUGAGGCGCAUUUCAUACGUUGUCAGAGUAAUUUAAAUUCCCAUUUAAUGUUUUUGUUAUAGUUGCUCAACAUAUUCCAUCACUGACAAACAUUUAAGUUGUUGACUUUUUGAGGUAGAAGUACCUUGGAAGAUAUUAGAUGUUAAUUUGCUUAAUUGUGGGCUUACAUGGUAGGUCCAUGGUUGCAUCCAAAUUAAUAAUUAGACAAAUCAAGUGGAAGAGAAGCUGGUACACCUCAAUCAUAAGUAUGAUAUUUAAAUGAAGCAAAGGCGCUGAUGAAUCUGUAUGUGUGAACUUGAGGUUCAUCGCAAAAUAUGAUCUAGUUCAUUUCCUCUGCAUGAAAGGGAGUAAUGAACAGAUCUUGGUCCUGUUAAAGCCUUUUGUUCGCAGUUUUGUGUCAUUAAAGGGUAUUGAUCAUGUAAUUAUUAUUCCUGAAACCAUGAAUGUUUCAGUUCAAGAAGGUAUAAAUGAAUGAAGAAAUAGACUGCCUAGCCUGGAUCAAUGAUGAGUAUUGGUGGAGGCGUCUGAAUCAACACUUAUGAUUAAGCCCUCUGUUACUCUGAGAUCUGUUACUGAAUGAGAAUCAGCCAGUAUUCUCUGUAGAAAUUACCUAAUAGAAUUAGGAAAAUUCAAUAAAACUUGUUCUUGAACUUUUGUGGUUCAAAGAGAUGACAUGUAUUAUUUUACGUGAAUUCAGUGCAUAAAUAGAGAAGCGUAUACAUGAGAGAAGAUGAACGGGCCUACUCAUAGAACUAUUCUUUGAGUAAAAUGAAAAAGUAUUAUAAAUAUUAAUACUGGCAAUCAAACAAGUAUCAUUAUUAAUCUGAGGUAAAAUCCUAUUAUAUGGAACAUAUUGUAUCUGCAGUUGAGACAAUUUUUAAAUUUUUAUUCUUUGCUUUUUUUAAUUAAGAAAAGGGAAAGUGUUUGCAUCAGCCAGAAAUCCAUUAAGUAACAUCUACUUAACAGAUUUUUAUACAGACAAAUAUUCAUAAUCAUUAUAGAUCUUAUUCUUGGGCUAGGUCAUGAACUCAAUAGUGUCUGUUAUGCUACUUAAAACUAAAAGUUGAAUACUGGCCUGAAAAGCAGUUGUGUUUUGGAACCAAGGAUUAUUGUUAUUUAGUUCUGCUUGACUAACAUCCAUUUAAGAAAACCUAAAUCUAUUCUAAAUCUGCCUUUUUCUCUCCAGAGUGAAUAUAGGCCAGUUGAUUCAAUCAUUUAAAAAAGAAUUGUUAUCCUGAGUAAGGAGCAUAGAGACAAAUAUAAAAUGAACGCACUCUACCUGAUUUAAUUAUAGUCUUCUGGUGAAGAUCUUGCCUUUUAUCUCUGUGAAUCAGGAGAGAAGAGAUUGAUAAUGAGUAGAGCAGACUGGAUUUGGUCAUUUCCCCAAGGUGAAGCGCAUGGCGUUUUCUUCUGUGGAAUGAAGACUGUGGCUGAUUUAAUCAGUCUCUGUUGAUGAAGAUCUUGGCUGUUACCUUUUUGGAAUGGAUGUGCAAUGAUUCCAUUAUUCUCCAGCGAGAAGAUCCUGGUUGUUGUCUGUUUGAGUAAUGAAUGAGUGUAGAAACCUAUGUAAGUAACAAAGUGAUUGCUUUUGCUUUAGUGGUUAUCAUGAGAGUUAACUCUUGCUGGUAAGGAAUAAAUGGCUAUGUAUACCGUUAAAUGAAUGACGUUUGUGUGUGAAUGAUUCAGCACAUCUAUGGUCAGUGAAGGAGAAAAAAGCAGGACCAUCUUUUUCAUUUUUAAUAGUUAAUUAUUCGGUUAAUGUAAAAAUUAAUUAUUCAAUUUUAUUUGAGUCGCAGUUGAUCUUAAGCUCCCUCUAUAAAGACAGCUUAGUCACAUUCCAAGAUGGAGGACACUGUCAGUGUGGAGUAAAAUGGCAGGUUCAUAGUUGUUUAUUGUCACGUCCUUAAAAUAUGGACAAUGUCAAUGAAAGAUGAUGAAGCCUUGACCAGUUAAGAGUAUGGGGUUAAUAUGAAGCAGGUAUGGUCAUUUUAAAGUGAACUUAAAUUGUUAUCUAUGUGAGAGGGGCAUAGAGACAGCUAUUCAUUAGAGACGUAGCUCUUUCCUUGUAUUUAGGAAUGAGGUUUAUCGUACUGCUAGUCUACUAAAAGUUAACUUUGAGAGCUAGUCAUAGGGCAAUCAUAAGCGAGUGAUAAAACUCUGUUACCUAUCAAAAAUUUCAAUUAAUACAGUAACACAUGACACCAAUAAACAGAAGGAAAAAUCACAGGGCUUUUAUUUUUUCUAACAUUUGUUUUGUACUUCCCAGAAUGGAGGCAUGAUGGGUGAUCCAAUCAUCUUCCACCGAUGAUGGUUUGAUGGCUGCCUGUAAUGAACAGCCCCAUCUGAUGUAAGCACUGUGCUGUGACCGUGAACUCUCCGGUUACCUCUGUGUGUCACAGGAAGACUCUUCACUAUUAAUGAAUUGAUUGAUCAAUAAACGAUGUACACAUGAAUGAAGACAGAUAGAGUCAAUCUUGGACCAAUGAUGAUGACUGGUGGCGUAUGAGUCAUGGACGAUGAAUACAGGUCUGGAAGUCUGAGGUCCAAUACGAUAAAAAUCUAGUCUUUACAUUCUGAUACAAAGCAUAGACUUUAGGAAUAUUCAAAGAUGUUGUUUUUGGUCUUUGUGUUCAUGCAUUUUCCCUCUAUUUUUAUAAUUGGUUCAAUGAAUCAAUAAACAAAUAUGUAACUGCACAAAGAUAAAAAGAGUGAGGCAUUGUCCAAUUAUGGAAAUAUAUAGUGAAAUAAGAAAUACUCUUCAUAUAUAUUAAAAACACUGAGGUCUUCUUUCUAUUAAGAAAUAAAUGACUCAAAGGUAUUACUCCCUUGCUGGAGGAUGGCAUAUUCAGUAAAAAUAAGAGCUUAUGGCGGGUCACUUGGUCAGGGCCAUGUUCGUUGUUGUUUGUUUUCUCAAGAAAAAAUACAGUUUCACACAUACUUACAUGAUGAAUAAAAUGAAAG